UGUAUAUCUGAGAGCGGGCAGCAUGUUUUCAGUAUGCAUUUGUGUAUAUAUAUAUUUAUACCGUUUAACAUGUGCAGUCAGUUGGCAAUAGUCGUAAGUCAUCGCCGAACGUUUCUUAUUUGCUGAGUAUUGACUACCUUGUUGUGAAUUCAUCAUGAAAGGAGCAGGCUGUCUCAUCUUUGCCGCGUUUGUAUUCUUCCAAAUUUACGUGGUCCACGGUAAAUUAAAAAAUGAUCCGGGAAAGUAGCAAGAUGAGGAUUGACCAGCGCUGGUACUUUCAUGGCUUGCAACGGACUUAUACCUGCAGAUUGGACCAAUGACCACCGUGCAUCAAUUUAAAAUUAUAAUACGAGAUAC
rnacentral:lncRNA from 1 species